rnacentral:rRNA from 1 species
GGUCAAGUGAAUAAGUGCAUGUGGUGGAUGCCUUGGCGAUCACAGGCGAUGAAGGACGUUGUAGCCUGCGAUAAGCUGCGGGGAGCUGGCAAACAAGCUUUGAUCCGCAGAUUUCCGAAUGGGGAAACCCGGCCCGCAAGGGUCAUCCCGCGCUGAAUACAUAGGCGCGUGGAGGCGAACGCAGCGAACUGAAACAUCUAAGUAGCUGCAGGAAAAGAAAUCAACCGAGAUUCCGAAAGUAGCGGCGAGCGAAAUCGGAGCAGCCUGUGCGUGAUAGUCGAUACGUUAGCGGAACGGUCUGGAAAGUCCGGCCAUAGCGGGUGAUAGCCCCGUACGCGAAAACGGAUCGGUGGUACUGAGCGCACGACAAGUAGGGCGGGGCACGUGAAACCCUGUCUGAACAUGGGGGGACCAUCCUCCAAGGCUAAAUACUCGUGAUCGACCGAUAGUGAACCAGUACCGUGAGGGAAAGGCGAAAAGAACCCCGGGAGGGGAGUGAAAUAGAUCCUGAAACCGCAUGCAUACAAACAGUCGGAGCCCAGCACAAUUGGUCUUCGGGGUCUUUCGCGCGCGAAGCGCCAAAAGACCUUCAGAUUGAAAUAGAUCUCGAUGGCUAUCGUCUGGUGACGCAUCGCGCGAAGCGCGAUGACGGCACCCAGCACGAUUGGCCCGUCGAGGCCAAUCGUGCUGGGUGACGGCGUACCUUUUGUAUAAUGGGUCAGCGACUUACGUUUAGUGGCGAGCUUAACCGCAUAGGGAAGGCGCAGGGAAACCGAGUCCGAACAGGGCGAAUCAGUCGCUAGGCGUAGACCCGAAACCGAGUGAUCUACCCAUGGCCGGGAUGAAGGUGCGGUAACACGCCCUGGAGGUCCGAACCGACUACUGUUGCAAAAGUAGCGGAUGAGCUGUGGGUAGGGGUGAAAGGCUAAACAAACUCGGAAAUAGCUGGUUCUCCCCGAAAACUAUUUAGGUAGUGCGUCGUGUAUUGCUCCAGGGGGUAGAGCACUGUAAUGGUUGCGGGGGUCAUACGGACUUACCGCGCCAUAGCAAACUCCGAAUACCUGGAAGUAUGAGCACGGCAGACAGUCCUCGGGUGCUAACGUCCGAGGUCGAGAGGGAAACAACCCAGACCGCCAGCUAAGGUCCCCAAUAUCCGCUAAGUGGGAAACGAAGUGGGAAGGCUAAAACAGUCAGGAGGUUGGCUUAGAAGCAGCCACCCUUUAAAGAAAGCGUAAUAGCUCACUGAUCGAGUCGUCCUGCGCGGAAGAUGUAACGGGGCUAAGCGGAUAACCGAAGCUGCGGACCUGGAGCAAUCCAGGUGGUAGGGGAGCGUUCUGUACGUCUGUGAAGGUGAGUCGAGAGGCUUGCUGGAGAUAUCAGAAGUGCGAAUGCUGACAUGAGUAGCGUUAAAGCAGGUGAAAAGCCUGCUCGCCGUAAGCGCAAGGUUUCCUACGCCACGUUCAUCGGCGUAGGGUGAGUCGGCCCCUAAGGUGAGGGCGAAAGCCGUAGCUGAUGGGAAGCUGGUUAAUAUUCCAGCACCGUCUCUGAGUGCGAUGGGGGGACGGAUCGUGGAAGGUUGUCCGGGUGUUGGAUGUCCCGGUUCUUGAUCUGUAGGUGUCCGGCAGGAAAAUCCGCCGGGCGUAUGCCGAGGGGUCGAGACGAGCGAGCUUGCUCGCGAAGCAACUGGAAGGGGUCCCAGGAAAAGCCUCUAAGCUUCAGCUCAGAGAGACCGUACCGCAAACCGACACUGGUGCGCGAGAUGAGUAUUCUCAGGCGCUUGAGAGAACUCGGGAGAAGGAACUCGGCAAAUUGACACCGUAACUUCGGAAGAAGGUGUGCCUUUGUAGCUUGAGUGUGAACAACACGAGGGCGAAGAGGUUGCAAAAAAUCGGUGGCUGCGACUGUUUACCAAAAACACAGCACUCUGCAAACACGAAAGUGGACGUAUAGGGUGUGACGCCUGCCCGGUGCCGGAAGGUUAAGUGAUGGGGUGCAAGCUCUUGAUCGAAGCCCCGGUAAACGGCGGCCGUAACUAUAACGGUCCUAAGGUAGCGAAAUUCCUUGUCGGGUAAGUUCCGACCUGCACGAAUGGCGUAACGAUGGCCACACUGUCUCCUCCCGAGACUCAGCGAAGUUGAAAUGUUUGUGAUGAUGCAAUCUACCCGCAGCUAGACGGAAAGACCCCAUGAACCUUUACUGUAGCUUUGCAUUGGACUGUGAACCGAUCUGUGUAGGAUAGGUGGGAGGCUUUGAAGCCGGGACGCUAGUUUCGGUGGAGCCAACCUUGAAAUACCACCCUGGUUUGUUUGCGGUUCUAACCUGGGCCCGUUAUCCGGGUCGGGAACAGUGCAUGGUAGGCAGUUUGACUGGGGCGGUCUCCUCCUAAAGCGUAACGGAGGAGUUCGAAGGUACGCUUGGUACGGUCGGAAAUCGUGCCUAAAGUGCAAGGGCAAAAGCGUGCUUAACUGCGAGACUGACAAGUCGAGCAGGUGCGAAAGCAGGACCUAGUGAUCCGGUGGUUCUGAAUGGAAGGGCCAUCGCUCAACGGAUAAAAAGGUACUCUGGGGAUAACAGGCUGAUACCGCCCAAGAGUUCAUAUCGACGGCGGUGUUUGGCACCUCGAUGUCGGCUCAUCUCAUCCUGGGGCUGUAGCCGGUCCCAAGGGUAUGGCUGUUCGCCAUUUAAAGAGGUACGUGAGCUGGGUUCAAAACGUCGUGAGACAGUUUGGUCCCUAUCUGCUGUGGGCGCUGGAGAUUUGACGGGGCCUGCUCCUAGUACGAGAGGACCGGAGUGGACGCACCUCUGGUGUACCUGUUGUCACGCCAGUGGCAUUGCAGGGUAGCUAAGUGCGGAAGAGAUAACCGCUGAAAGCAUCUAAGCGGGAAACUCUCCUGAAGAUGAGAUCUCCCUGGGGACUCGAUCCCCCUGAAGGGUCGUCCGAGACCAGGACGUUGAUAGGCCGGGUGUGGAAGCGCAGUAAUGCGUUAAGCUAACCGGUACUAAUUGCCCGUGAGGCUUGACCCU